GAAUUUGUCGGUUGGUCGGGCUUCACUGUCCGCACUAACCUGAUGGAUUCCUACCUUCUGAAUAACCAGCAUGUUACUAAAUUAGUGCGUUGGGAAGCAGACCUAUUACCUUAAAAAAAUUAGAGUGUUCAAAGCAGGCUUAUGCUUGAAUAGAUUAGCAUGGAAUAAUAAAAUAGGACGGCAUGGUUCUAUUUUGUUGGUUUCUAGGAUCACCGUA
rnacentral:rRNA from 1 species